rnacentral:tRNA from 1 species
GCCCGCGUAGCUCAGGGGAUAGAGCAACGGUUUCCUAAACCGUAGGUCAGAGGUUCGAAUCCUCUUGCGGGCA